GGUUACAGUAUUCCUACUUAAUAUUGUGCCACGUGAAGGUUGUUUGUGCUUGAGCAUAAGAUUUCUCUCUUUUCGUAUCUGAAUAUUCCCUUAUGAUAUCUGAUGGUUCGAGUGUGCUGGGAGAAGAUUUCUGGCAACAUAUAUGCAAUGAAAUGGCUGAAGAAGCCUGAUGUAGUUAAGAGGGGUCAAUACAUGCUUCGGUCCUAUGAAAUGUUUCCUUGGGAUGUAGUUGAG